AUUCCGGGCCGAGUCUGACACCAGAUUCCGGGGCGAUUCAAUCAGUUCCGCCCCCCCGGAAAAGAGCCACCUCUGGGCCGAUUCCUCAUUGCUAGCUGGGGAGCUACAACCCAGCACAAGUGAUUUAGGUGCCUUCUAGGAAGCCUGGGAGGAGCUGCUUCCUCACAGGCUGAUGUUUAAGCAACUCCACCAAUUAUUUCCCAUCAGCCAAUCAAAUUCAAAUAGCAAACGUGCCAUUGAGAAAGAACAACUAUUUUCCACCGUAGUGACCUUCACAGCUAGCUAACGUUAGCACAUCAAAAAGGAGAGGCUCAGGAACUGACCGCAAGUGUUGGGAGGCUGGCAGCCAGCAUGGUUGAUUUGAAGAACAUUCAUGUGGUGGACACAGCGUCCUCCCAAGAGGCUUAUGCAAACUCGUUGAAUUUAAGUGAAAGACUAGAAGAGGAAGAGGCCUAGGUCUAUGUUGCUGUAUCCAGGUCUGCAGUAUGUUGCUGUAUACUACUGCAGAUCGUUUCUACUGUGUCUGUGUUAACCUGUGUUCAAGUUAAACCAUCCUUAACUUUAACUGUUUACUGUAACUGUUUACAACUGUGAAUGAAAGUAACGCAUCAUCACACAAACUGUUGUAUCAGAAGUAUUUAUGUUUUUAAGUUGUUGUUGGUUUCCAAUUUCAUUGAGUAAUUCAACAAGUACACCGAACAACAAUUUAAAUGCAACAUGUAAAGUGUUGGUCUCAUGUUACAUGAGCUGAAAUAAAAGAUCCUAGAAAUGUU